rnacentral:tmRNA from 1 species
UAUGGCUUCGACGGGGGUAAGGUGGGUUUGAUAAGCGGGCCGAGGUAAGCAUGUUCCCUCGAUAAUCAAGUAUGCAUUAAAGAUAAACGCAGAAGACAAUUUUGCAUUAGCAGCUUAAUAUAGCCGCUCAUCCGCCCAGGCUGCCUACGGCUUGGAUCACGGGUGUCAUUUAAGUAGGAAACGAAGCCUAGCAAAGCUUUGAGCUAGAGGGGUAUUUAUGAAGCUAGCGAAUUAGUCUCCUGUCUGUAGGGGUUCUAAGGAGCGAAAUUUAAUAUACAGACUACGCUCGUAGAAAGUCAAGCUGGUCUGCUUUCGGACAGGGGUUCGAUUCA